rnacentral:lncRNA from 1 species
GCGGGGCAUCCUCGUCCCGCGACGGGGCGCCCCUCGUUGCCCACCCCGCCCCGCCAACCCAUUCCGGGCGGGACGGGGCAGGGUAAAUUGCCAUCCCUACAAAUAACCAACCGCUACCCCACCACAAUCAACAAAACACCACGUUUACUAGCCUGCAGAUUAUUUCUCAAGGUCAACAAUAGCCUUUGUGUCUCUUUGUUUAAAUUUUCUAAUAGUUC